rnacentral:rRNA from 1 species
GCUAGGAUGAACGCUGGCGGCGUGCCUAACACAUGCAAGUCGAACGGGGUUAAGACGCUGAUGAUGGAGAUGCUGCAUCAAAAGAAUCUUGUUUAACUUAGUGGCGGACGGGUGAGUAACGUGUGGAUAACCUGGCCCAUACAGGGGGAUAGCAGCUGGAAACGGCUGAUAAUACCGCAUAAGCGCACAAUAUCGCAUGGUAAAGUGUGAAAAAGAUUUAUCGGGUAUGGGAUGGAUCCGCAUCUGAUUAGCCAGUUGGCGGGGUAAAGGCCCACCAAAGCGACGAUCAGUAGCCGGCCUGAGAGGGCGGACGGCCACAUUGGGACUGAGACACGGCCCAGACUCCUACGGGAGGUAGCAGUGGGGGAUAUUGCACAAUGGGGGGAACCCUGAUGCAGCGACGCCGCGUGGGUGAAGAAGUAUUUCGGUAUGUAAAGCCCUAUCAGCAGGGACGAUAAUGACGGUACCUGAGUAAGAAGCCCCGGCUAACUACGUGCCAGCAGCUGC